UACGGAGGGUGCAAGCGUUACUCGGAAUCACUGGGCGUAAAGCGCGCGCAGGCGGCUAUUUAAGUUGGAUGUGAAAGCCUACGGCUCAACCGUAGAACUGCAUCCAAAACUAUUUAGCUAGAGUGUGGGAGAGGAAGAUGGAAUUAGUUGUGUAGGGGUAAAAUCCGUAGAGAUAACUAGGAAUACCAAAAGCGAAGGCAAUCUUCUGGAACACUACUGACGCUGAGGCGCGAAAGCGUGGGGAGCAAACAGGAUUAGAUACCCUGGUAGUCCACGCAGUAAACGAUGAAUGUUAAUCGUCGGGGGCCUAGUGUCUUCGGUGAUGCAGCUAACGCAUUAAACAUUCCGCCUGGGGAGUACGGUCGCAAGAUUAAAACUCAAAGGAAUAGACGGGGACCCGCACAAGUGGUGGAGCAUGUGGUUUAAUUCGAAGAUACGCGAAGAACCUUACCUAGCCUUGACAUAUUUUAGAACUCCGUAGAGAUACAGAGGUGCCUUCGGGAGCUAAUUUACAGGUGCUGCACGGCUGUCGUCAGCUCGUGUCGUGAGAUGUUGGGUUAAGUCCCGCAACGAGCGCAACCCUCGUCACUAGUUACUAACGAUUCGGCCGAGGACUCUAGUGAGACUGCCUUCGUAAGGAGGAGGAAGGUGAGGACGACGUCAAGUCAUCAUGGCCCUUACGGCUAGGGCAACACACGUGCUACAAUGGCCAGGACAGUGAGACGCGAUACCGCGAGGUGGAGCAAAUCUAUAAANCUGGUCUCAGUUCGGAUUGUAGUCUGCAACUCGACUACAUGAA
rnacentral:rRNA from 1 species